AUUGUUCGUAGGAUAAGUAAUAUUGAAUCUUGAUUUCAGAGAGCUUGUGGUUAGUGUGAACAAGUAAUCAUAUUUAAUAUGAAUCUACCUACUAUAUGAGAACAAUCGGUUAUAGCCGUUAUUUAGUGAGAGUGCAGUCUAAUUUUGGACUGUUAAAUAGGGUGGCAACGCGUAGACCACGUCCCUUGU
rnacentral:ncRNA from 1 species